GAAACCGGAGCUAAUACCGGAUAAUAUUUCGAACCGCAGGUUCGAUAGUGAAAGAUGGCUUUGCUAUCACUUAUAGAUGGACCUGCGCCGUAUUAGCUAGUUGGUAAGGUAACGGCUUACCAAGGCAACGAUACGUAGCCGACCUGAGAGGGUGAUCGGCCACACUGGAACUGAGACACGGUCCAGACUCCUACGGGAGGCAGCAGUAGGGAAUCUUCCGCAAUGGGCGAAAGCCUGACGGAGCAACGCCGCGUGAGUGAUGAAGGUCUUCGGAUCGUAAAACUCUGUUAUUAGGGAAGAACAAACGUGUAAGUAACUGUGCACGUCUUGACGGUACCUAAUCAGAAAGCCACGGCUAACUACGUGCCAGCAGCCGCGGUAAUACGUAGGUGGCAAGCGUUAUCCGGAAUUAUUGGGCGUAAAGCGCGCGUAGGCGGUUUUUUAAGUCUGAUGUGAAAGCCCACGGCUCAACCGUGGAGGGUCAUUGGAAACUGGAAAACUUGAGUGCAGAAGAGGAAAGUGGAAUUCCAUGUGUAGCGGUGAAAUGCGCAGAGAUAUGGAGGAACACCAGUGGCGAAGGCGACUUUCUGGUCUGUAACUGACGCUGAUGUGCGAAAGCGUGGGGAUCAAACAGGAUUAGAUACCCUGGUAGUCCACGCCGUAAACGAUGAGUGCUAAGUGUUAGGGGGUUUCCGCCCCUUAGUGCUGCAGCUAACGCAUUAAGCACUCCGCCUGGGGAGUACGACCGCAAGGUUGAAACUCAAAGGAAUUGACGGGGACCCGCACAAGCGG
rnacentral:rRNA from 1 species